CGGGGCCCCGCAGCCCCAGCGCGGGAAAGGAGAGGGGGAGCCUCGCUGGUGCGGCUUUGUGCCCUCGUGGGAGAGGAGAGGGGAAGCCUCGGAGCACACAGAGCUACAGCAGGAAAAUCUGUUGUGGUGGUGACGAGUGGUUCCCUAUCUUGUAGUAUGGGAGAAGACAGAGUAUUUCCUGAUUCUGGAAUUGACAGACUCCACCGACUUGCAUCUACCACUGACCAUACCCCUGAGCAGUGAUUUCAGACCACAAGAGAAUAAGGCAGCUUCGCAAUAAAGGGAAGGCAAGUUUUGCCAGAGACAUCAUCUUCAGAAGUAAGAUGGAAAAGAGUUGAUUGAUUCAUGACAACAUUUUUUAGGGUCUACCGGGAAGAAGAAUUGCUUGAAUGAUUGAUCAGCAUUUUUUCAUCUGUCACUUGAGGUAUCUUUAAUGAAAAGUACCUUAUCAAGCCAUGAAUUCACUGAUA